rnacentral:rRNA from 1 species
CUACGGGUGGCAGCAGUGAGGAAUAUUGCACAAUGGAGGAAACUCUGAUGCAGCAACGCCGCGUGGAGGAUGACGCAUUUCGGUGUGUAAACUCCUUUUAUAUGUCAAGAAAAUGACGGUAGCAUAUGAAUAAGCUCCGGCUAACUCCGUGCCAGCAGCCGCGGUAAUACGGAGGGAGCAAGCGUUACUCGGAAUCACUGGGCGUAAAGGACGCGUAGGCGGGAUAGAAAGUCAGGUGUGAAAUCCUAUGGCUCAACCAUAGAACUGCACUUGAAACUUCUAACCUAGAGUACGGGAGGGGAAGAUGGAAUUAGUGGUGUAGGGGUAAAAUCCGUAGAUAUCACUAGGAAUACCAAAAGCGAAGGCGAUCUUCUGGAACAAUACUGACGCUAAGGCGUGAAAGCGUGGGGAGCAAACAGGAUUAGAUACCGCGUAGUC